CUGGUCGAGAUGCACUGAAGGAAUUUUAGAUCAGUUCUGAUUAAAAGGCUCAUGUUGCAGCCUUUGGUGAGAUCAAGUAUCCAAUGCCUGUUACGUACACAGCAGCACAAAAUAAUCUGCAAGAUCUCAAAGAUCUCAAGGAUCAUUCAAUCACAAAUACGCAUCAGUCCUGCUGCACAUCAUCAAAAAGCCAGAAGAAGCAACUGCCACCAAAGCUGGAACGCCCACGCUCCUGAAAAGGCUGUGAACUCCAGAAAAAAAAAGCCUUUGUUGUAGGGAUGAAAAGCAGCAUUUGAAAUGCACAAAACACACUGUCUCCAAGUGAUUUCUGGAGCUUAACAUCACAGAGAAGGAACUGAAUGUGCUGCUCGGCGCGGUUCUUCUGCUCAAAAGGUCAAAGUCAAAGGAAACAGUCUUCCCCUGACGGCGGGAGGCGCUGCGAGGGAAGGAGGAGGAAAAUACAAACAGCGAGGAAGCGCCGGGCGAGGACACGAGCGGCGGGUGAAAUCAGCUAGUUAGUAGUCAGAGGGCGACGCGGAAACAUCCAAGCGGGUUGUUUUUCAUGGCGGCUCGCUGUGAGGAUGAAGCACAGUCUGAGAGUUAUUACGCCAGGAAGAGCUUCAGAAAAACACCCGUAAAGAUUUACAUGAAGUGGCUGCUGGGAAUACGGACACGGACGUUGUGCGAUGGAUACCUGCGUAUUAUGCAAAAAUCCUCCCCGGGCCCUUUUUAGGCGAAGGAGUCAGACUGGGACGGACGGAGGCCCCCGGCUUACAUUAGUACAUAAAUACAAACCGCCCACAUUCGGCGCAGUUCCGUUCCAGUAAUCAGUCUCAUUUGACCCAUUUUGUGUAACAUUAUGCUUACCCAGCUGGUAUGAUUUCACCCCCCCCCCCCCCCCCCCCGCCCCCCCACGACCAUUGAUGGGCUGUUAAUAAAGCUUUUAGAACAUUAGCC
ensembl:lncRNA